GGUCAGCAUCUGCUCUGCUGUUCUUGGGGCUGAGGUAGUAGAUUGAAUAGUUGUGGAGCCCUGCGCUCUCUCUCUGAGAUAACUAUACAAUCUACUGUCUUUCCUAAGGCGACAGCCAAAUCAUCCGCAAAAC
rnacentral:pre_miRNA from 8 species